rnacentral:rRNA from 1 species
GGUUAAGCGACUAAGCGUACACGGUGGAUGCCCUGGCAGUCAGAGGCGAUGAAGGACGUGCUAAUCUGCGAUAAGCGUCGGUAAGGUGAUAUGAACCGUUAUAACCGGCGAUUUCCGAAUGGGGAAACCCAGUGUGUUUCGACACACUAUCAUUAACUGAAUCCAUAGGUUAAUGAGGCGAACCGGGGGAACUGAAACAUCUAAGUACCCCGAGGAAAAGAAAUCAACCGAGAUUCCCCCAGUAGCGGCGAGCGAACGGGGAGCAGCCCAGAGCCUGAAUCAGUGUGUGUGUUAGUGGAAGCGUCUGGAAAGGCGCGCGAUACAGGGUGACAGCCCCGUACACAAAAAUGCACAUGCUGUGAGCUCGAUGAGUAGGGCGGGACACGUGGUAUCCUGUCUGAAUAUGGGGGGACCAUCCUCCAAGGCUAAAUACUCCUGACUGACCGAUAGUGAACCAGUACCGUGA